rnacentral:rRNA from 1 species
UACGAAGGGGGCGAGCGUUGUUCGGAAUUACUGGGCGUAAAGCGUGCGCAGGCGGUUUGUUAAGUCCGCUGUGAAAUCCCCGAGCUCAACUUGGGAAUUGCAGUGGAUACUGGCAGGCUGGAGUAUGGUAGAGGAAGGUGGAAUUCCCGGUGUAGCAGUGAAAUGCGUAGAGAUCGGGAGGAACACCAGUGGCGAAGGCGGCCUUCUGGACCAAUACUGACGCUCAUGCACGAAAGCGUGGGGAGCAAACAGG